rnacentral:rRNA from 1 species
GACGAACGCUGGCGGCGUGCUUAACACAUGCAAGUCGAGCGGCGCGGCGAACGGGUGAGUAACGCGUGAGUAACUGGCCCCCUCUCUGGGAUAACCGUUGGAAUAGGCUGCCAAUCACGGUUAGUGGGGGAUGACUCGCGUCCGAUCAGCUUGUUGGUGGGGUAGUGGCCUACCAAGGCGACGACGGGUAGCCGGCCUGAGAGGGCGACCGGCCACAGUGGGCUGAGAUACGGCCCGAACUCAUACGGGAGGCAGCAGUGGGGAAUAUUGCACAAUGGGGGAAACCCUGAUGCAGCAACGCGCGUGCGGGAUGACGGCCGUCGGGUUGUAAACCGCUUUCAGCCAGGACGCGGUAGUGGCAGAAGAAGCACCGGCUAACUCCGUGCCAGCAGCCGCGGUAAUAC